CAGCCGCCGCGGUAAUACGUAGGUGGCAAGCGUUGUCCGGAAUUAUUGGGCGUAAAGGGCUCGCAGGCGGUUUCUUAAGUCUGAUGUGAAAGCCCCCGGCUCAACCGGGGAGGGUCAUUGGAAACUGGGAAACUUGAGUGCAGAAGAGGAGAGUGGAAUUCCACGUGUAGCGGUGAAAUGCGUAGAGAUGUGGAGGAACACCAGUGGCGAAGGCGACUCUCUGGUCUGUAACUGACGCUGAGGAGCGAAGGCGUGGGGAGCGAACAGGAUUAGAUACCCCUGUAGUCCCUGUCUCUUAUAC
rnacentral:rRNA from 1 species